UACGGAGGGGGGCUAGCGUUGUUCGGAAUUACUGGGCGUAAAGCGCGCGCAGGCGGUUCUCCAAGUCAGUGGUGAAAGCCCGGAGCUCAACUCCGGAACUGCCAUUGAAACUGUUGAACUUGAGGACGAGAGAGGUGAGUGGAAUUCCCAGUGUAGAGGUGAAAUUCGUAGAUAUUGGGAAGAACACCGGUGGCGAAGGCGGCUCACUGGCUCAUUACUGACGCUCAGGCGUGAUAGCGUGGGGAUCAAACAGG
rnacentral:rRNA from 1 species